CAGAUAAGGAAGCUGAGGUCAAGAGAGGGGAAGAAACCAGGUUAGAGAGCCACAGGUGUGGAGACAGAGGUUCAGGGGAAGAUUCUAGAUCAUGAGAAAAUGGCCCAUAAGGGGGUUAAAGGAGUCCGUUGGGGAAGACAGAUGCAACCACAGGAAGUAAUUAUGGACAUGAUACCAAGGAGACUUCCUACCCCUGUCCCAAACACCUCAAAUUAUCUCUUGAGGGUCAAGCAGAGUCUUCUAGUUUUACCCUCCUCCUGAAGUACAAUGCUUGGGACAAGAUAGGGUAGUGAUUCAGGAGUCUCAGGGGCCCUGUCAUCUCCUGAGGUGGAGGUAAGAGCAGGAAAAAGAAGACAAGGACACUGUUUGAAGAAGGUUAAUGACCUCAGCCCCACCCUAACAAAGAACAAGCUGACUCAGCCUCCUCAAACCAUUCCACAAGAAUGUUCCCUGGGUCACUGAUCUCUUAACUCAGUGAGAGGCCUUGAGUUUAAAUGCCUGAACUUUAGAUUUCCUUGGAGCAGAUAACAGGGUACUGAGGACUUCCCCCAAACUUCCUCAAGUGUAGAAGGAUCUCCUAAGGGAGGGAAGUGGGGUUAGAGAGCAGGAGGAGGCAGGAAGGGACAGUGGCUGACUGAGACUCAGUGCUGGCUGCCGGACCAGAGAC
rnacentral:lncRNA from 1 species